rnacentral:rRNA from 1 species
CCUACGGGCCGCAGCAGUAGGGAAUCUUCGGCAAUGGACGAAAGUCUGACCGAGCAACGCCGCGUGAGUGAAGAAAGUUUUCGGAUCGUAAAACUCUGUUGGUAGAGAAGAACGUUGGUGAGAGUGGAAAGCUCAUCAAGUGACGGUAACUACCCAGAAAGGGACGGCUAACUACGCGCCAGCAGCCGCGGUAAUACGUAGGUCCCGAGCGUUGUCCGGAUUUAUUGGGCGUAAAGCGAGCGCAGGUGGUUUAUUAAGUUUGGUGUAAAAGGCAGUGGCUCAACCAUUGUAUGCAUUGGAAACUGGUAGACUUGAGUGCAGGAGAGGAGAGUGGAAUUCCAUGUGUAGCGGUGAAAUGCGUAGAUAUAUGGAGGAACACCGGUGGCGAAAGCGGCUCUCUGGCCUGCAACUGACACUGAGGCUCGAAAGCGUGGGGAGCAAACAGGAUUAGAUACCCGGGUAGUC